GAUGAACGCUGGCGGCGUGCCUAAUACAUGCAAGUAGAACGCUGAAGGAGGAGCUUGCUCUUCUGGAUGAGUUGCGAACGGGUGAGUAACGCGUAGGUAACCUGCCUGGUAGCGGGGGAUAACUAUUGGAAACGAUAGCUAAUACCGCAUGACAACAGUUAUUGCAUGAUAACUGUUUAAAAGGGGCAACUGCUCCACUACCAGAUGGACCUGCGUUGUAUUAGCUAGUUGGUGAGGUAACGGCUCACCAAGGCGACGAUACAUAGCCGACCUGAGAGGGUGAUCGGCCACACUGGGACUGAGACACGGCCCAGACUCCUACGGGAGGCAGCAGUAGGGAAUCUUCGGCAAAGGACGGAAGUCUGACCGAGCAACGCCGCGUGAGUGAAGAAGGUUUUCGGAUCGUAAAGCUCUGUUGUAAGAGAAGAACGAGUGUGAGAGUGGAAAGUUCACACUGGGACGGUAUCUUACCAGAAAGGGACGGCUAACUACGU
rnacentral:rRNA from 1 species